ACGAACGCUGGCGGCAUGCCUAACACCUGCCAGUCGCACGAGACCUUCGGGUCUAGUGGCGCCCGGGUGCGUCACGCGUGGGAACCUGCCCUUAGGUUCGGAAUAACUCCCCGAAAGGGGUGCUAAUACCGGAUAAUGUCUUCGGACCAAAGAUUUAUCGCCUUUGGAUGGGCCCGCGUUGGAUUAGCUAGUUGGUAGGGUAAAAGCCUACCAAGGCGACGAUCCAUAGCUGGUCUGAGAGGAUGAUCAGCCACACUGGGACUGAGACACGGCCCAGACUCCUACGGGAGGCAGCAGUGGGGAAUAUUGGACAAUGGGCGAAAGCCUGAUCCAGCAAUGCCGCGUGAGUGAUGAAGGCCUUAGGGUUGUAAAGCUCUUUUACCCGGGAUGAUAAUGACAGUACCGGGAGAAUAAGCUCCGGCUAACUCCGUG
rnacentral:rRNA from 1 species